UUCAGAUACUUUUUAUCUGUUUACUUUCUUACAGCUCUCUGUCUAAAUUUCCUCUUUCACUCCUUCAAAUCCACUGUACUUCUCUCUUUCUUUAUAAACACAUUUAUCUCUCUCUCUUUCUGUGUGUGUGUGUGUGUGUUGUUCUUCAGGUCUGGAUCGGUUCUGCAGGUUUAAUCAGUCUGAUAUCUGUUACGCAGCUCUGGGACACAAACUCAAUCUGCUGAUGGUGCGGGACGCUAGUAAAUAUGACACGACGAUACAAAAGAGAAUAAACAAAAACAAAACAAGUGAUCCAGUUUGUAGAGUAAAGAAUGGCAGGAUGAGGGAGAAAGAAUGUGAUCUUUAUAGUAACAGACCUGAAGUUGCAGUCAUUAAUGGGACUCUGAUAAUAAACCGUGUGAUCAGAGCAGAUUCAGGGAGUUACACAGUAACUUUAACUCCCUCAGACGGCUCAGUAACAUCUACAGAUCUUCAAGUGAAUGUUGAAGGUACAGAAACCCUCUCCUCAGACUCAUUACAGUCUCAUGCUCUCCAAAGAUCUCACUCUCUCAAAUGAAUCAGUUGUAUCUCUGUGAAGGUUUUUAUUCAUGCAGCUCAUUAUUGAAUAUCUGUACACUCCCUGCUGUUUUAAAAAUAAUGUGAAAACAAUUUAAACAGUCAUUUGAUAAAUUGUUGUCACAUGACUAACCUACUGUACGCUGCAUGUUUAAUUCAGUCCAGCUUUCACCUCAGCAGUACAUUUUGUUUAGAAAUGUCUUGACAUUGACUCAUACUGAGUCGAGAAGGAGUUGUGUGACGGUCACGUGUCCCUCCCUUCAGCUCCUGUUGGCUCAGUGGAAGUGUCCAUCAGCUGCUCCUCCAGUGGAGUGAAGAGGGCGUCCUGCUCCUCUGAGGGCGAGCAGAUCCUCUACAGCUGGAGUCUGAAUGGAGGUCCACUGAUGGAUGGAAACUCCAGCUUUGAUCUGAAUGAGGGAACUGAUGGAAACAUCAGCUGCAGUGUGAAGAACCACGUCAGUCACGGACAGAAGACCGUUAGUGUCAAACCCUGUCCUGGACCAACUACUUCAUCUGUGAACUCAACAGUACAAAAGGAUUCAUCAGUUGGUCUGGAUCGGUUCUGCAGGAUUAAUCAGUCUGAUAUCUGUUACGCAGCUCUGGGACACAAACUCAAUCUGCUGAUGGUGCGGGACGCUAGUAAAUAUGACGUGAUGAUACAAAAGAGAAUAAACAACAACAAAACAACUGAUCCAGUUUGUAGAGUAAAGAAUGGCAGGAAGAAGGAGAAAGAAUGUGAUCUUUAUAGUAACAGACCUGAAGUUGCAGUCAUUAAUGGGACUCUGAUAAUAAACCGUGUGAUCAGAGAAGAUUCAGGGAGUUACACAGUAACUUUAACUCCAUCAGACGGCUCAGAAACAUCUACAGAUCUUCAAGUGAAUGUUGAAGGUACAGAAACCCUCUCCUCAGACUCAUCACAGCCUCAUGUUCUCCAAAGAUCUCACUCUCUCAAAUGAACCAGUUGAAUCCCUAUGAAGGAUUUUUAUUCAUGCAGCUCAUUAUUGUACACUGCCUGACUUUUUAAAAAAAAAAAUUACAUGAAAACAUUUUAAACAGUCAUUUGAUAAAUUGUUGUCACAUGACUAACCUACUGUACGCUGCAUGUUUAAUUCAGUCCAGCUUUCACCUCAGCAGUACAUUUUGUUAGAAAUGUCUUGACAUUGACUCAUACUGAGUCGAGAAGGAGUUGUGUGACGGUCACGUGUCCCUCCUUACAUUGACUCAUACUGAGUCGGGAAGGAGUUGUGUGACGGUCACGUGUCCUCCCUUCCAGCUCCUGUUGGCUCAGUGGAAGUGUCCAUCAGCUGACUCCUCCAGUGGAGUGAAGAGGGUGUCCUGCUCCUCUGAGGGCGAGCAGAUCCUCUACAGCUGGAGUCUGAAUGGAGGUCCACUGAUGGAUGGAAACUCCAGCUUUGAUCUGAAUGAGGGAACUGAUGGAAACAUCAGCUGCAGUGUGAAGAACCACGUCAGUCACGGACAGAAGACCGUUAGUGUCAAACUCUGUCCUGGUGAGCGUUAAAUACAUGAAUGUCCACAUAUUCAUAAAAACCACAGCGACAGCAACAAGAGUGAUGAAGAUGAGCCAAUCUCA
rnacentral:lncRNA from 1 species